ensembl:lncRNA
AGCAGCUCAGCCAAUCGGGAGCCCCUGCUGGUGAGUACAGCAGUAAAAUAUUGAAGGGCUGAGUGAGAAGAGGAAAGAUCUUGCAUGUAUGUUCUCCUCUCCUUCUGCAUCAGCUGAUCUUCUCUCUGUCAGUUUAGUGUGAAUGACACUGGACAUCAGAUGCCAAAGUGUUUUCUCUAAAGGCACAGCAGGAGAGAACAUUUAAGGCAAUAUAGUGUUUUUCUGAGGCUUUUGGCUUGACACCUCUAUAAGUUUCUCUUCGGGACAUUUGGCACAUAUGGUUCCUGCACUUAUACAAAAGCGAUACAAGACAACACAUCUGAUACAGGAAUGGAAAUCCAACCCUUGUCAUGAUAAAACAAUGCAGUUUUGCGAUGGAGAUUUGUUCAGCCAGACGGCGCCAUGAUGGGUGUGCUGGAGUGUGAUAAUUCAAGAGCUGCAGGGGAGGACUGUGAUUUAUGGGAUAUCCUUUAUGCGUUACAAAAUGUGUUCUUUCGAAAGCCCACCCCCAACAAUUCAUAUGAGUCAUUUCCCUAAUUGAUAGUUGCCUGGAAACUCUAUGAGAGGGGCUGAAAAAGACUAAUAAUGUACAAAAUAUAGUGUGUGUUGAUCAAGACCAGUAAAACGAAAUGUUACAGUUUCAUCGACUUGCUUGAGACUAUUGAUUUUGAAUUGAUAUGGGUUUACACACUACACUGUGCCUGCGAGGUCACUCAUAAUGAAGUAUGGAUUAACAAUGAUGUUUUAAAACAAUGCCAUAUCUUUUGUACAGAUAUCAGGUGUGAUGUCACCGCACCUAAUGCGUUUCAAAUGACGCAAAUGUACAGCGCUACAUCCAGAUUAUUAUAGGCUCUAUUUGAGUGCUGUCUCAAUUCCCAUCAUAAAAGCUAUUGAUUACUCCCUACUUACACUCUCACGCUUGUGCUCAGCCACUGGGAUAUUGGCAUUAAUUUCUCCAAGUCAGUGCCUUCAGUGCUGGUCAUUUGAGGUCUUUCUGAGGUACUGUGGAUGCCUUUUGGUGCUCUUUGAUGUACUUUUUAGGACAUAAAUGGAAAGGUACUGUAGACAAUAAAAAUGGCUAUAUUUAAAUUUGCCCUUGGUUUACGAUUGAUAGUUGUCUCAUAUAAAUCUUAUACUGUAACACUGAAAUUACACUCAUCAUCUUUAAAAUGCACGUCAGUUAACAUAAUAUCUCAGUCUGUUUAUUAUAAACAAGACAAGCCCAGUGAGAGGGCUUGUUUUAUAGCGGCCAAGAACGUCCUGCCCGUGCCAGAGCCACCCCUCCUCGCUCCCGCUGCAAGCUGUUUGCAGGAUGCAGGAUCUGGAGGUAUUCCCUCAGCACUCACCCCAGCUCCAGAGCUGAAACACUACACCACACUGAAGAGGGCAGACACAGACAAGAGUGACUGGGGAAACACAUACAAAAACGGUUUACUAAGCAAGAUGAGGGAGUGUUGUUUUUAGGUUACUACCGUUGGGUUUCUGAUUUUUACUAGUGAUAUAGCAGAAUGCUCAUGUAAUUAUUUUCUGAUUCUCCACAGCAGUUUUAGUAGGUUAUGAGUCACACGGGCCUCUGGCUAUGGCCGCAUUAAACUGCAAAUACAGUGGCGCUAUUAAAAUUUAUUAGAUUAGAGAUCUGUAACUACAACUCUUAUGAAAUGUAUUUAAUUGCCUCCUGGUUUGAACAAAAACAUCUAGAGCUGAAAAUUCUCCUUGCUUAUUUUAAAUUUCAACCAUUCCAAUGACAGUAUCUGCUUAAAUAUGGAGGGCAUUCCUUAUCAAUCCUUUAACAUAAGCUUUCAGUAGCCAAGGAGGAUGAUGUUGAAUAUCUAGCUGUGCGAUGUGUUUUAUUUUGGUUCCAAAUUUUUUUUGUCAGCCAGUGCCCUUAGACAGUACAGGUCCUCCUUAUAUGCAAAGUACACAAAUUGCAUAUACCCUCCGAACCACCAGGGAGCCCCCUUGCUCUCAAAGAUUAUUUAACGAAUAGGACUGAGCGAUUAAUAUAAUUUUUUGUUUAUGUGUGUUUGUUUGUUUGUUUUUAGAUUUCAACGAUUAUGAAAACACCAUGCCACAUUCCAUUAAAAUCCUUUAAAGCAGUGCGCUGUCACGCUUCCUACAAUAUGUAACAUCCAAAUCAUCUAAUGUGAC